GCCGUGUGAAGGGAGGGGAAUAAAGGCACUGUGGGUUAUUGAAUGGCCGAUACACCCCACUGAGUUCCAACGAGGGCAGCGAUGAAAUGUUUGCAGAUAAAAAUAGUUUUGGUAUUUAAAUGUGAAUAGUUUGUCUGCUUUUUAGGUGGUAUCUGACACGACUUCUGUGGGGGAUACAUACAUGCAAACUGAAUAUAAAUUUAUAAAAAUAAAGAGACUAUCUUUAUAUUUGAGUGCCCAUUCGAAUGGGUCCCAUUGGUGUUCAAUGCUGUUAAGAUGCUGUCAUACAAAUUCCUAUAACUCCACGAGCACCUCUCUCUACUUUCUUGCUUUUUUGUUGUCUUUCAGACUGCAACGUUAUUUGUCAGCCAUUUAUUGUUGAGCAAAUAAAACGUAUUUGUCGUCCAUAUGGAUGCGCGCAGCACAAUUGAUUUAUACGAUUCGCGACUUCGAUAUUGAAAGUGGCAAAAAACGAGCAUGAACGAAUUAAUAGAAGCUUUAAAUACCCAUUACAUUUAUAAUCAUUUUAAGUACAAUUGCUAUUAAU
rnacentral:lncRNA from 1 species